UACAGAGGGGGCAAGCGUUGUUCGGAAUUACUGGGCGUAAAGGGCGCGUAGGUGGCCUUCUAAGUUGAACGUGAAAUCCCUGGGCUCAACCCAGGAACUGCGUCCAAGACUGGGAGGCUUGAAUCCGGGAGAGGGAUGCGGAAUUCCAGGUGUAGCGGUGAAAUGCGUAGAUAUCUGGAAGAACACCGGUGGCGAAGGCGGCAUCCUGGACCGGUAUUGACACUGAGGCGCGAAAGCCAGGGGAGCAAACGGG
rnacentral:rRNA from 1 species